GACGAACGCUGGCGGCGUGCUAAACACAUGCAAGUCGAACGGAAAGGCCCUGCUUUUGUGGGGUGCUCGAGUGGCGAACGGGUGAGUAACACGUGAGUAACCUGCCCUUGACUUUGGGAUAACUUCAGGAAACUGGGGCUAAUACCGGAUAGGAGCUCCUGCUGCAUGGUGGGGGUUGGAAAGUUUCGGCGGUUGGGGAUGGACUGGCGGCUUAUCAGCUUGUUGGUGGGGUAGUGGCUUACCAAGGCUUUGACCGGUAGCCGGCAUUAAAAAGUGAACGGCCACCUUGGGACUGAGAUACGACACAGGCUCCUACGGGAACGAGAAGUGGGGAAUAUUGCACUAUGGGCGGAAGCCUGAUGCAGCAACGCCGCAUGCGGGAUGACAGCAUUCGGGUUGUAAAACGCUUUCGCCUAUGACGAAGCGUGAGUGACGGUAAUGGGUAGAGAAGCACCGGCUAACUAGGUG
rnacentral:rRNA from 1 species